UACGAAGGGGGCUAGCGUUGCUCGGAAUUACUGGGCGUAAAGCGCACGUAGGCGGCUCUUUAAGUCGGGGGUGAAAUCCUGGAGCUCAACUCCAGAACUGCCUUUGAUACUGAGGAUCUUGAGUUCGGGAGAGGUGAGUGGAACUGCGAGUGUAGAGGUGAAAUUUGUAGAUAUUCGCAAGAACACCAGUGGCGAAGGCGGCUCACUGGCCCGAUACUGACGCUGAGGCACGAAAGCGUGGGGAGCAAACAGG
rnacentral:rRNA from 1 species